AAGUUCAUUUGGGUUUUCCUGAAUAUCUUACAGAAAAACCGAAAUGAACUUUU
ensembl:miRNA